GCCAGGCAUGGUGGCGCAUGCCUGUAAUCCCAGCUACUUGGGAGGCUAAGACAGGAGAAUUGCUUGAACCUGGGAGGCAGAGGUUGCAGUGAGCCGAGAUCACACCACUGCACUCCAGCCUGGGCAACAGAGCAAGACUCUGUCUCAA
rnacentral:SRP_RNA from 1 species